GUGGCGAUAGCUCAGUAGGUAGAGUGCCUGGUUGAAAUUCAGGCGGUCCUCUGUUCGAUUCCGAGUCGUCCCACCU
rnacentral:tRNA from 1 species